rnacentral:rRNA from 1 species
AUACGGAGGGUGCAAGCGUUAUCCGGAAUCAUUGGGUUUAAAGGGUCCGUAGGCGGGCUAUUAAGUCAGAGGUGAAAUCCCACAGCUCAACUGUGGAACUGCCUUUGAUACUGAUAGUCUUGAGUUACAGUGAAGUAGAUAGAAUAUGUAGUGUAGCGGUGAAAUGCAUAGAUAUUACAUAGAAUACCGAUUGCGAAGGCAGUCUACUAACUGUAUACUGACGCUGAUGGACGAAAGCGUGGGGAGCGAACAGGAUUAGAAACCCUAGUAGUCC